GCUCAAACCAUGGGAAGUGCGGGGGACGUAACAACGGCAAUUAUUCCAAUGCGUCAUAUAGAUGUUGUGGAAUAUGCCUAGGGGUGAAUUGCACAAGCAUAGGGCUUCUCCUGAGUCCGAAUCCGACAGCUAACUUCGCAGGCAUAACAGAGGAG
rnacentral:sRNA from 1 species